CAGAAUGGCUCGGGUGAAACGGAAGGGAUGAAUUCCUUAGUUAUUUGUAACCGAGGUAGAGUUAAAAUAGAGGUGAGAAUAACAGGAAUAUUCUAUAUUUAAAACGCGCGCAGUUAUCACUUGACAGUUUCCAAUUUUUCCAGAAAGAGAAAAGGUUACUGUUGGCGAAUGGUCACGUUGACCAGUGGUUGACCCUUAUACCCAAAUUAGUCGUGUAAUGGCUCGGGGGCUGUGUGCUACGUGGC
rnacentral:lncRNA from 1 species